GGAUAACGCUGGCGGUAUGCUCAACACAUCCAAGUCGAACGAAAGUUAUACUUUAGUGGCGGACGGGUGAGUAAUACGUGAGAAUCUACUUUAGGAGGGAAUAACAAUUGGAAACGAUUGCUAAUGCCCUAUAUGCUUAGCAGUGAAACAGAUUUAUCUGCCUGAAGAUGAGCUCGCGCCUGAUUAGCUAGUUGGUAGAGUAAAAGCCUACCAAGGCAACGAUCAGUAGCUGGUUUGAGAGGACGAUCAGCCACACUGGGACUGAGACACGGCCCAGACUUCUACGGAAGGCAGCAGUGGGGAAUUUUCCGCAAUGAGCGAAAGCUUGACGGAGCAAUACCGCGUGAGGGAAGAAUGCCUGUGGGUUGUAAACCUCUUUUUUUAGGGAAGAAAAUAUGACGGUACCUAAAGAAUAGGCAUCGGCUAACUCCGUGCCAGCAGCCGCGGUAAUACGGGGGAUGCAAGCGUUAAUCCGGAAUUACUGGGCGUAAAGCCGUCUGCAGGUGGCUUAAAAAGUCUGCAUGUUACACUAUUAGAGCUCAACUCUGAAGUAAGCAGUGGAAACUGUUAGGCUUAAGUAUGGUAUGGGUACAAGGGGAACUCCCAGUGUAGCGGUGGAAAAUGCCGUACGAUAUCGGGACAGAACACAGUAGCGAACAGCGCUUUUACUAGACCAUUAACUGACACUCAGAGACGAAAGCUAGGGGGAGCACAAUGGGAUUAGAUACCCCCAGUAGUCCCUAGCCGUAAACGAUGGAUCCUUAGAUGUUGGCGUGUUUCCG
rnacentral:rRNA from 1 species